UGCAGUCGAACGGGAAGGCCCUUCGGGGUACUCGAGUGGCGAACGGGUGAGUAACACGUGGGUGAUCUGCCCUGCACUUUGGGAUAAGCCUGGGAAACUGGGUCUAAUACCGAAUACACCUUGCUGGUCGCAUGAUCUGGUGGGGGAAAGCUUUUGCGGUGUGGGAUGGGCCCGCGGCCUAUCAGCUUGUUGGUGAGGUUAUGGCUUACCAAGGCGACGACGGGUAGCCGGCCUGAGAGGGUGACCGGCCACACUGGGACUGAGAUACGGCCCAGACUCCUACGGGAGGCAGCAGUGGGGAAUAUUGCACAAUGGGCGCAAGCCUGAUGCAGCGACGCCGCGUGAGGGAUGACGGCCUUCGGGUUGUAAACCUCUUUCAGCAGGGACGAAGCGCAAGUGACGGUACCUGUAGAAGAAGGACCGGCCAACUACGUGCCAGCAGCCGCGGUAAUACGUAGGGUCCGAGCGUUGUCCGGAAUUACUGGGCGUAAAGAGCUCGUAGGUGGUUUGUCGCGUUGUUCGUGAAAACUCACAGCUCAACUGUGGGCGUGCGGGCGAUACGGGCAGACUGGAGUACUGCAGGGGAGACUGGAAUUCCUGGUGUAGCGGUGGAAUGCGCAGAUAUCAGGAGGAACACCGGUGGCGAAGGCGGGUCUCUGGGCAGUAACUGACGCUGAGGAGCGAAAGCGUGGGGAGCGAACAGGAUUAGAUACCCUGGUAGUCCACGCCGUAAACGGUGGGUACUAGGUGUGGGUUUCCUUCCUUGNGAUCCGUGCCGUAGCUAACGCAUUAAGUACCCCGCCUGGGGAGUACGGCCGCAAGGCUAAAACUCAAAGAAAUUGACGGGGGCCCGCACAAGCGGCGGAGCAUGUGGAUUAAUUCGAUGCAACGCGAAGAACCUUACCUGGGUUUGACAUGCACAGGACGCUGGUAGAGAUAUCAGUUCCCUUGUGGCCUGNGUGCNGNNGGUGCAUGGCUGUCGUCAGCUCGUGUCGUGAGAUGUUGGGUUAAGUCCCGCAACGAGC
rnacentral:rRNA from 1 species